CGGGUGAGUAACACGUAUCCAACCUGCCGUCUACUCUUGGACAGCCUUCUGAAAGGAAGAUUAAUACAAGAUGGCAUCAUGAGUUCACAUGUUCACAUGAUUAAAGGUAUUCCGGUAGACGAUGGGGAUGCGUUCCAUUAGGUUGUUGGUGAGGUAACGGCUCACCAAGCCUUCGAUGGAUAGGGGUUCUGAGAGGAAGGUCCCCCACAUUGGGACUGAGACACGGUCCAA
rnacentral:rRNA from 1 species